CACGUAGUUAGCCGGUGCUUCUUUACCCAUUACCGUCACUCACGCUUCGUCACAGGCGAAAGCGGUUUACAACCCGAAGGCCGUCAUCCCGCACGCGGCGUUGCUGCAUCAGGCUUCCGCCCAUUGUGCAAUAUUCCCCACUGCUGCCUCCCGUAGGAGUCUGGGCAGUAUCUCAGUCCCAAUGUGGCCGGUCACCCUCUCAGGCCGGCUACCCGUCAAAGCCUUGGUAAGCCACUACCCCACCAACAAGCUGAUAAGCCGCGAGUCCAUCCCCAACCGCCGAAACUUUCCAACCCCCACCAUGCAGCAGGAGCUCCUAUCCGGUAUUAGCCCCAGUUUCCUGAAGUUAUCCCAAAGUCAAGGGCAGGUUACUCGCGUGUUACUCACCCGUUCGCCACUCGAGCACCCCACAAAAGCAGGGCCUUUCCGUUCGACUUGCAUGUGUUAAGCACGCCGCCAGCGUUCGUCCUGAGCCAGGAUCAACUACU
rnacentral:rRNA from 1 species